rnacentral:tRNA from 1 species
GGAGGUGUAGCUCAGUGGUAGAGCACUUGCCUAGCAUGUGUAGGAUCCUGGGUACAUUUCCCAGGACCACCA